CACCUGUUCCCAUCUCGAACACAGUAGUUAAGCUCAUAAACGCCGAAAGUACUUGGCUGGAGACGGCCUGGGAGGAUAGGAAGCCGCUGAUU
rnacentral:rRNA from 1 species